rnacentral:lncRNA from 1 species
AGGGGUUGGGAUUGGGUUUGGAUUUGGAGGACCCAGCCUUUAUUUCCCCCCUUUAUUCCCUUUAUUUCCUCCCUUUAUUCCCUUUAUUUCCCCCCUUUAUUUCCUCCCUUUAUUCCCUUUAUUUCCACAUCACUCUUGUCAUUAUUUGCUGCUUCUGGAGGGCUUUGCUUUCAUUUCCCUUCAGCAUUUUCUUAUAGAAAAUAAAGAAGAAAAAUCUUCUUCAUUUUAGGGUUAAAAAAAACAAAAAAAGGUUUUCUUUGGUUCCUUUAGAAAAACCAUUUGGGUUUUCUUUAACCCAAAACCUGGGUUCAGUUCCCAUCAGAAAAAGCUCCUGAGGUUUGGUCCAAAAUCCUCCNGUUUAUUCACUCCAUCAAUCACUUUUUAUAACCGUGUUAAUUAAGUUCAUGCAUAUUGCAAUGAACUUAA